rnacentral:rRNA from 1 species
GGGGAAUAUUGCACAAUGGGCAAAAGCCUGAUGCAGCAACGCCGCGUGAGGGAAGACGGUUUUCGGAUUGUAAACCUCUGUUUUCGGUGACGAACAAAUGACGGUAACCGAGUAGGAAGCCAUGGCUAACUACGUGCCAGCAGCCGCGGUAAUACGUAGGUGGCAAGCGUUAUCCGGAAUUACUGGGUGUAAAGGGAGCGCAGGCGGGAUAGCAAGUCAGCUGUGAAAACUAUGGGCUCAACCCAUAAACUGCAGUUGAAACUGUUAUUCUUGAGUGGAGUAGAGGCAAGCGGAAUUCCGAGUGUAGCGGUGAAAUGCGUAGAUAUUCGGAGGAACACCAGUGGCGAAGGCGGCUUGCUGGGCUCUAACUGACGCUGAGGCUCGAAAGUGUGGGGAGCAAAC